rnacentral:rRNA from 1 species
UACGGGGGGGGCAAGCGUUGUUCGGAAUUACUGGGCGUAAAGGGCUCGUAGGCGGCCAACUAAGUCAGACGUGAAAUCCCUAGGCUCAACCUAGGAACUGCGUCUGAUACUGGAUGGCUUGAAUCCGGGAGAGGGAUGCAGAAUUCCAGGUGUAGCGGUGAAAUGCGUAGAUAUCUGGAGGAACACCGGUGGCGAAGGCGACAUCCUGGACCGGUAUUGACGCUGAGGCGCGAAAGCCAGGGGAGCAAACGGG